UCCGGCUUCACCUUCAGCAGCUUCACCAUGUUCUGGGUGCGCCAGAGCCCCGGGAAGGGGCUGGAAUAUGUUGCUGGGAUCACCAGCACUGGUGGUUACACCGAGUACGCGCCGUCGGUGCAGGGCCGGUUCACCAUCUCCCGGGACAACGGGCAGAGCUCGGUGACGCUGCAGAUGAACAACCUGAAGGAGGAGGAUUCCGCCAACUAUUUCUGUGCCAAAGAUUAUCGUGCUGGUGCUGGUGCUGCUCAUGCUGGUG